rnacentral:rRNA from 1 species
CUACGGGAGGCUGCAGUGAGGAAUAUUGCACAAUGGGGGGAACCCUGAUGCAGCAACGCCGCGUGGAGGAUGACGCAUUUCGGUGUGUAAACUCCUUUUAUAUGUCAAGAAAAUGACGGUAGCAUAUGAAUAAGCACCGGCUAACUCCGUGCCAGCAGCCGCGGUAAUACGGAGGGUGCAAGCGUUACUCGGAAUCACUGGGCGUAAAGGACGCGUAGGCGGCUUGGAAAGUCAGGUGUGAAAUCCUACAGCUUAACUGUAGAACUGCACUUGAAACUUCUAAUCUAGAGUAUGGGAAGGGGAGAUGGAAUUAGUGGUGUAGGGGUAAAAUCCGUAGAUAUCACUAGGAAUACCUAAAGCGAAGGCGAUCUCCUGGAACAUUACUGACGCUAAGGCGUGAAAGCGUGGGGAGCAAACAGGAUUAGAUACCCCGGUAGUC